rnacentral:rRNA from 1 species
UGGGGAAUAUUGCGCAAUGGGGGAAACCCUGACGCAGCGACGCCGUGUGAGGGAAGAAGGCCUUCGGGUCGUAAACCUCUGUCGGGAGGGAAGAACCGCCAGGAUCCGAACAGGAGCCUGGCCUGACGGUACCUCUAAAGGAAGCGCCGGCUAACUCCGUGCCAGCAGCCGCGGUAAUACGGAGGGCGCAAGCGUUACUCGGAAUCACUGGGCGUAAAGCGCACGUAGGCGGCCAGAUAAGUCGGGCGUGAAAGCCCUCGGCUCAACCGUGGAAUGUCGUUCGAGACGGUUUGGCUUGAGUCCUGGAGAGGGUGGCGGAAUUCCGGGUGUAGGAGUGAAAUCCGUAGAUAUCCGGAGGAACACCGGUGGCGAAGGCGGCCACCUGGACAGGUACUGACGCUGAGGUGCGAAAGCGUGGGGAGCAAACA